GACGAACGCUGGCGGCGUGCCUAAUACAUGCAAGUUGAGCGCUGAAGGUUGGUACUUGUACCAACUGGAUGAGCAGCGAACGGGUGAGUAACGCGUGGGGAAUCUGCCUUUGAGCGGGGGACAACAUUUGGAAACGAAUGCUAAUGCCGCAUAAAAACUUUAAACACAAGUUUUAAGUUUGAAAGAUGCAAUUGCAUCACUCAAAGAUGAUCCCGCGUUGUAUUAGCUAGUUGGUGAGGUAAAGGCUCACCAAGGCGAUGAUACAUAGCCGACCUGAGAGGGUGAUGGGCCACACUUGGACUGAGAAACGGGCCAAACCUCUACGGGAGGCAGCAGUAGGGGAUCUUUGGUGAUGGACGAAAGUCUGACCGAGGAACGCCGGGUGAGUGAAGAAGGUUUUCGGGUCGUAAAACUCUGUUGGUAGAGAAGGACGUUGGUGGGAGUGGAAAGCUCAUCAAUUGACGGUAACUAACCAGAAAGGGACGGCUAACUACGUG
rnacentral:rRNA from 1 species